AACAAAACAACUCCCUCUCUCGAUGUUGUUUCAACUUUUCACGGCUUUUUCCAGAUCCUUCAGUGCUGAUGCCCUGCAACGUAGCGGAGUGGAGCUGAUCUUCAUCUCUAAAGCACUAUUGAUGAACCAUAUGAUUAAACAAGUCUGUGACUGACUUAAUGAACCCAGUUGCUUUGGAUCAUGCUCAAAAAUGUAAGGGUUACAAAAAGUUAACCAGAACUCUUAUGGACUCCAUCUUCUCUUUCGAAGAGAUGGCAGCAUGAACGGAAAAAAAGGGGUUGUUGGUGAAAAAAGAGCCUUGACCUACAAAAGGUGCAACUAA